UACGUAGGGUGCGAGCGUUAAUCGGAAUUACUGGGCGUAAAGCGUGCGCAGGCGGUUUGCUAAGACAGGUGUGAAAUCCCCGGGCUCAACCUGGGAACUGCAUUUGUGACUGUAGAGCUGGAGUACGGUAGAGGGGGAUGGAAUUCCGCGUGUAGCAGUGAAAUGCGUAGAUAUGCGGAGGAACACCGAUGGCGAAGGCGGCUCACUGGGCCGGACCUGACGCUGAGGCGCGAAAGCGUGGGGAGCGAUCCGG
rnacentral:rRNA from 1 species